rnacentral:rRNA from 1 species
UACGAACCGUCCGAACGUUAUUCGGAAUCACUGGGCUUAAAGGGUGCGUAGGCGGCGCGGAAAGUUGGGUGUGAAAUCCCUCGGCUUAACCGAGGAACUGCGCCCAAAACUACCGUGCUUGAGGGAGAUAGAGGUGAGCGGAACUUAGGGUGGAGCGGUGAAAUGCGUUGAUAUCCUAAGGAACACCGGUGGCGAAAGCGGCUCACUGGAUCUCUUCUGACGCUGAGGCACGAAAGCUAGGGUAGCGAACGGG